GCCGCGGUGGUCUAGUGGCUAAGGUACUCGGCUGCUAACCGGCAGGUCGCGGGUUCGAAUCCCGGCUGCGGCG
rnacentral:tRNA from 1 species